GAUGAACGCUGGCGGCGUGCCUAAUACAUGCAAGUCGAGCGAACGGACGAGAAGCUUGCUUCUCUGAUGUUAGCGGCGGACGGGUGAGUAACACGUGGAUAACCUACCUAUAAGACUGGGAUAACUUCGGGAAACCGGAGCUAAUACCGGAUGAUAUUUUGAACCGCAUGGUUCAAAAGUGAAAGACGGCCUUGCUGUCAGUUAUAGAUGGAUCCGCGCUGCAUUAGCUAGUUGGUAAGGUAACGGCUUACCAAGGCAACGAUGCAUAGCCGACCUGAGAGGGUGAUCGGCCACACUGGAGCUGAGACGCGGUCCAGACUCCUACGGGAGGCAGCAGUAGGGAAUCUUCCGCAGUGGGCGAAAGCCUGACGGAGCAACGCCGCGUGAGUGAUGAAGGUCUUCGGAUCGUAAAACUCUGUUAUUAGGGAAGAACAUAUGUGUAAGUAACUGUGCACAUCUUGACGGUACCUAAUCAGAAAGCCACGGCUAACUACGUG
rnacentral:rRNA from 1 species